CACGUAGGGCGCAAGCGUUGUCCGGAAUUAUUGGGCGUAAAGAGCUCGUAGGCGGCUUGUCGCGUCGUCCGUGAAAACUCACAGCUCAACUGUGAGCUUGCGGUCGAUACGGGCAGGCUAGAGUUCGGUAGGGGAGACUGGAAUUCCUGGUGUAGCGGUGAAAUGCGCAGAUAUCAGGAGGAACACCGGUGGCGAAGGCGGGUCUCUGGGCAGUAACUGACGCUGAGGAGCGAAAGCGUGGGGAGCGAACAGG
rnacentral:rRNA from 1 species